CUUGGCAGUGUUGAAAGAUGGCUGUGUUGACACUGAGCCGCCAAGGAGCCUAGUUGAUUAUGUCAAUGGAUUCAGACAUCGUUUGUUUGUUGCGGGUAGUAUGGCACAGGAAAAGUUGUGCGUGUCUCAAGCUGCUCCUUGUUUUGAUCGAGCGUUCAUGCUCCAAGUAGAUGCCAGCCAGGUGGGAGCAGGUUCCGUCUUGCUCCAGGGAGACAACCAGGGGGUGUCCUCUUGAGUAGCAGUAUUUGUUGACGGCCCCUGCCUCACUACUGAGAUGUCAGUGUGGAUUUGCCAUUUAUGAAAGAAGGAGCGGGAGAAGAUGCCUGAUGCAGAGCACCUGAUGCAGAGCACCUGAUGCUGGCGCGCCCUGAGCAUAAAAGCCCCAAUCAAACGUUGCUCUGGUCUCUCUCUCCUUCACCUGGACUCAACCCUGUCAGAACCUGCCGGGCUGACUUUGUUUGGCUUUUCUUUAGUUUUCAGUCAAAACACAUCACACUUCAUCAUGCUCACACAUCCACAUCUACAUUACUGAUGUUACUGACUGACAAACUCCACAUGUGUAGUUAUUUCUGUACUUCCUUAAUUUAUUUAUAAUAAAUAUCUUUAAUUUACAAUCAAUCACUGCAUCCUUUCCCGUAUUUGUCAUGGCCUAGGAGCCAGGCUAUG